GCCCGCAUGGCUCAGUGGUAGAGCAUCUCACUAGUAAUGACAGAGAUGUCUUACUGGAUAAUGAGGGGGUCGUCAGUUCAAUUCUGACUGUGGGCA